AUUGAACGCUAGCGGCAUGCUUAACACAUGCAAGUCGAACGGCAGCGCGAGGAGCUUGCUCCUUGGCGGCGAGUGGCGGACGGGUGAGUAACGCGUGGGAAUCUACCUUAUAAUGGGGGACAACCCGAGGAAACUCGGGCUAAUACCGCAUAAUCUCUACGGAGCAAAGCAGGGGACCUUUGGGCCUUGCGUUAUAAGAUGAGCCCGCGUCGGAUUAGCUUGUUGGUGGGGUAAUGGCCUACCAAGGCAACGAUCCGUAGCUGGUCUGAGAGGAUGAUCAGCCACACUGGGACUGAGACACGGCCCAGACUCCUACGGGAGGCAGCAGUGGGGAAUAUUGGACAAUGGGCGAAAGCCUGAUCCAGCAAUGCCGCGUGUGUGAAGAAGGCCUUCGGGUUGUAAAGCACUUUCAGUAGGGAAGAAAAGCUAUAGGCUAAUAACCUAUGGCCCUGACGUUACCUACAGAAGAAGCACUGGCUAACUCUGUGCCAGCCGCCGCCGUAACAC
rnacentral:rRNA from 1 species